CACUGUUAACUUCCACCAUGGCAUAGCCUGCUCUUCUCCCAGGGAGACUAACCCUCUAAGGGAACAGACAUGCUCUACCACAGACACUACCAGGGAUCUAUGCUGCCGUCUCGUCCUGUUCAUCAGUGAUUUACGUUGGAGGAACCAUGGUGAGCAAGGCAGAGGGUGGUAAAUGCAUGCUCACCAACUCCGAGUCGGACUCCGAGGCGGCGCCCCCCCCCUCCCCGUCCGCCUCGCUGGCCCUGGAGGUCAAAUACUCCUUCCUGGACACCAGCAGCAGGUCACAGCAGCAGGUAAGGAAGAGGAACAAGGCCCUCCAGGUGAGGUUCAAGGACAUCUGUGAUGCGCAGAAGGAGCAGAGAGAGGCCGCACUACAGACGGCUGGGAAGGGGGGCAAGCCUGUCUCCU